rnacentral:rRNA from 1 species
UAGAUGCGAGAGUAGAGCAUAUCAAUAAGCGGAGGAAAAGAAACUAACAAGGAUUCCCUUAGUAACGGCGAGUGAAGCGGGAAGAGCUCAAAUUUGAAAUCUUCAAGGUUCUACCUUGACGAAUUGUAGUUUAAAGAAGUGUUUUCUGUUAGAUGAGUAGCAAAAGUUCCUUGGAAUGGGACAUCAUAGAGGGUGAGAAUCCCGUAUUUGGUUAUUCAUUCUAGCUUUGUGAUACACUUUCAAAGAGUCGGAUUGUUUGGGAAUGCAGUCCAAAAUGGGUGGUAAAUUUCAUCUAAAGCUAAAUAUUGGCGAGAGACCGAUAGCGAACAAGUACCGUGAGGGAAAGAUGAAAAGAACUUUGAAAAGAGAGUUAAACAGUACGUGAAAUUGUCAAAAGGGAAGCGUUUGACACCAGUGUUGUUUUUCCGAAAAUCAAUUACGAAUGGCUUGAUUUUGUGUUGUAUUGACCUUAUCAGCUUUCUGCACUUUUUUCGAGUCUUUCUUAAUGCACUUUUCGGUUAACAAGUCAACAUCAAUUUCUUUUGUUGUAAAAGAGUAUUCGGAAGGUGGCUUUCUUUUCGGAGAAAGUGUUUAUAGCCCUAUACUUCUACAAUCGGAGAGAUUGAGGUCUGCAGCGUAGAUCCUUCGGGGUUAGAUACACUUGUGCUAAGUUGUAGCUUUUCAUAGACAACUUGUUGACUAUGUUUAGUCAUGCGGCUUACUCGCUUGUGCUAUUUUACCUACGCUUAGGAUGUUGAGCGCAUGUCUCUCUCU